rnacentral:rRNA from 1 species
ACGCUCGACACCUACGGGAGGCCAGCAGUGGGGAAUAUUGCACAAUGGGGGAAACCCUGAUGCAGCGACGCCGCGUGGAGGAAGAAGGUCUUCGGAUUGUAAACUCCUGUUGUUGGGGAAAAAGAGGAUGGUACCCAACAAGGAAGUGACGGCUAACUACGUGCCAGCAGCCGCGGUAAUCUGAGCGGGCUGGCAAGGC